rnacentral:rRNA from 1 species
AUUGAACGCUGGCGGCAUGCCUUACACAUGCAAGUCGAACGGCAGCACGGGUGCUUGCACCUGGUGGCGAGUGGCGAACGGGUGAGUAAUACAUCGGAACAUGUCCUGUAGUGGGGGAUAGCCCGGCGAAAGCCGGAUUAAUACCGCAUACGAUCUACGGAUGAAAGCGGGGGACCUUCGGGCCUCGCGCUAUAGGGUUGGCCGAUGGCUGAUUAGCUAGUUGGUGGGGUAAAGGCCUACCAAGGCGACGAUCAGUAGCUGGUCUGAGAGGACGACCAGCACACUGGGACUGAGACACGGCCCAGACUCCUACGGGAGGCAGCAGUGGGGAAUUUUGGACAAUGGGCGAAAGCCUGAUCCAGCAAUGCCGCGUGUGUGAAGAAGGCCUUCGGGUUGUAAAGCACUUUUGUCCGGAAAGAAAUCCUUGGCCCUAAUACGGUCGGGGGGAUGACGGUACCGGAAGAAUAAGCACCGGCUAACUACGUG